rnacentral:guide_RNA from 1 species
AUAAGUAAUACAAUGAUGCAAAGUGAGACUAUAUAAGUUAGAUGAUAUAUAUUAUAAUU